rnacentral:rRNA from 1 species
GACGAACGCUGGCGGCGUGCUUAACACAUGCAAGUCGAACGCGCCUGUCCUCUGGGUUUCUGGGGGGUGGGUGAGUGGCGAACGGGUGAGUAACACGUGAGUAACCUGCCCCCUUCUUCGGGAUAACGGUCUGAAAGGGCUGCUAAUACCGGGUAUUCACUGGUCUCCGCAUGGGGUCUGGUGGAAAGGUUUUUUUCUGGUGGGGGAUGGGCUCGCGGCCUAUCAGCUUGUUGGUGGGGUGAUGGCCCACCAAGGCUUUGACGGGUAGCCGGCCUGAGAGGGGGACCGGUCACAUUGGGACUGAGAUACGGCCCAGACUCCUACGGGAGGCAGCAGUGGGGAAUAUUGCACAAUGGGCGCCAGGCUGAUGCAGCGACGCCGGGUGAGGGAUGGAGGCCUUCGGGUUGUGAACCUCUUUCGCCCGUGGUCAAGCCGCGACGUGGGUCGUGGUGAGGGUAGUGGGUAAAGAAGCGCCGGCUAACUACGUG